rnacentral:rRNA from 1 species
AACGAACGCUGGCGGCAGGCCUAACACAUGCAAGUCGAACGCCGUAGCAAUACGGAGUGGCAGACGGGUGAGUAACGCGUGGGAACCUACCUUACGGUCGGGAAUAGCUCAGGGAAACUUGGGGUAAUACCGGAUACGCCUUACGGGAAAGAUUUAUCGCCGUUAGAUGGGCCCGCGUAGGAUUAGCUAGUUGGUGAGGUAAUGGCUCACCAAGGCGACGAUCCUUAGCUGGUCUGAGAGGAUGAUCAGCCACACUGGGACUGAGACACGGCCCAGACUCCUACGGGAGGCAGCAGUGGGGAAUAUUGGACAAUGGGCGCAAGCCUGAUCCAGCCAUGCCGCGUGAGUGACGAAGGCCUUAGGGUUGUAAAGCUCUUUUUGGCGGGGAAGAUAAUGACGGUACCCGGAGAAUAAGUACCGGCUAACUUCGUGCCAGCAG